CGCGCGAGUGAAGCAGCAAUAGCUCAAUUUGAAAUCUGGCGUCUUCGACGUCCGAGUUGUAAUUUGUAGAGGAUGCUUCUGAGUAACCACCGACCUAAGUUCCUUGGAACAGGACGUCAUAGAGGGUGAGAAUCCCGUAUGCGGUCGGAAAGGUGCUCUAUACGUAGCUCCUUCGACGAGUCGAGUUGUUUGGGAAUGCAGCUCUAAAUGGGAGGUAAAUUUCUUCUAAAGCUAAAUAUUGGCCAGAGACCGAUAGCGCACAAGUAGAGUGAUCGAAAGAUGAAAAGCACUUUGGAAAGAGAGUUAAAAAGCACGUGAAAUUGUUAAAAGGGAAGGGAUUGCAACCAGACUUGCUCGCGGUGUUCCGCCGGUCUUCUGACCGGUCUACUCGCCGCGUUGCAGGCCAGCAUCGUCUGGUGCCGCUGGAUAAGACUUGAGGAAUGUAGCUCCCUCGGGAGUGUUAUAGCCUCUUGUGAUGCAGCGAGCGCCGGGCGAGGUCCGCGCUUCGGCUAGGAUGCUGGCGUAAUGGUCGUAAUCCGCCCGUCUGAAAACCCGGGAACAAAAG
rnacentral:rRNA from 1 species